GAUGAACGCUGGCGGCGUGCCUAAUACAUGCAAGUCGAGCGAACGGACGAGAAGCUUGCUUCUCUGAUGUUAGCGGCGGACGGGUGAGUAACACGUGGAUAACCUACCUAUAAGACUGGGAUAACUUCGGGAAACCGGAGCUAAUACCGGAUAAUAUUUUGAACCGCAUGGUUCAAAAGUGAAAGACGGUCUUGCUGUCACUUAUAGAUGGAUCCGCGCUGCAUUAGCUAGUUGGUAAGGUAACGGCUUACCAAGGCAACGAUGCAUAGCCGACCUGAGAGGGUGAUCGACCACACUGGAACUGAGACACGGUCCCGACUCCUACGGGAGGCAGCAGUAGGGAAUCUUCCGCAAUGGGCGAAAGCCUGACGGAGCAACGCCGCGUGAGUGAUGAAGGUCUUCGGAUCGUAAAACUCUGUUAUUAGGGAAGAACAUAUGUGUAAGUAACUGUGCACAUCUUGACGGUACCUAAUCAGAAAGCCACGGCUAACUACGUG
rnacentral:rRNA from 1 species